rnacentral:rRNA from 1 species
UACGAGGGGGGCAAAUGUUGUUCGGAAUCACUGGGCGUAAAGGGAGCGUAGGCGGGUUUCUAAGUCAGGUGUUUAAUCCCGGGGCCCAACCCCGGACAGGCACUUGAAACUGGAAAUCUUGAAUAGUGGAGAGGUCAGUGGAAUUGGGGGUGUAGCGGUGAAAUGCGUAGAUAUCGUAAGGAAGACCAGUGGCGAAGGCGGGUCUCUGGACAGUUCCUGACGCUGAGGCACGAAGGCCAGGGGAGCAAACGGG